rnacentral:rRNA from 1 species
UAACUAGGAUUCCCUUAGUAACGGCGAGUGAACCGGGAUGAGCUCAAAUUUAAAAUCUGGCGUCUUUCAGGCGUCCGAGUUGUAAUCUAUAGAGGCGUUUUCCGCGCCGGACCGCGUCCAAGUCUCUUGGAAUAGAGUAUCAAAGAGGGUGACAAUCCCGUACUUGACGCGACAACCGGUGCUCUGUGAUACGUUCUCAAUGAGUCGAGUUGUUUGGGAAUGCAGCUCUAAAUGGGUGGUAAAUUCCAUCUAAGGCUAAAUAUUGGCGAGAGACCGAUAGCGAACAAGUACCGUGAGGGAAAGAUGAAAAGCACUUUGGAAAGAGAGUUAAACAGCACGUGAAAUUGUUAAAAGGGAAACGAUUGAAGUCAGUCGUGUGAAAGGUAUUCAGCCGUCUCUGGCGGUGUAUUUGCCUUUCACGGGUCAACAUCAGUUUGAUCCGGUAGAAAAAGGCGGGAGGAAGGUGGCACCCUCGGGUGUGUUAUAGCCUCCUGUCAUAUGUGCCGGACCAGACUGAGGAACGCAGCUUGCCGCAAGGCCGGGGUUCGCCCACGUACAAGCUUAGGA